CCUACGGGUGGCAGCAGUCGAGAAUCAUUCACAAUGGGGGAAACCCUGAUGGUGCGACGCCGCGUGGGGGAAUGAAGGUCUUCGGAUUGUAAACCCCUUUCAUGUGGGAGCAAAUUAAAAAGAUAGUACCACAAGAGGAAGAGACGGCUAACUCUGUGCCAGCAGCCGCGGUAAUACAGAGGUCUCAAGCGUUGUUCGGAAUCACUGGGCGUAAAGCGUGCGUAGGCUGUUUCGUAAGUCGUGUGUGAAAGGCGCGGGCUCAACCCGCGGACGGCACAUGAUACUGAGAGACUAGAGUGAUGGAGGGGGAAGCGGAAUGCGUGGUGUAGCAGUGAAAUGCGUAGAUAUCGAGAGGAACACUCGUGGCGAAGGCGGGUUCCUGGACAUUAACUGACGCUGAGGCACGAAGGCCAGGGGAGCGAAAGGGAUUAGAUACCCGUGUAGUC
rnacentral:rRNA from 1 species